AUGGAGAGACUUGUUAAUGUUCAUUACAAGGACAAGGAGGCAUUCUUGAGUAACAAUGCCGACACGGGUGAGGAACCAUUGGUUUUUGAUACAAGCCCUAGCUAUGAGGAUGUUGUUGCAAAAGUGAGACAAGUCUUAAAGUGGAUGGACACCAAUGUUGAUGUUAAGUUAAUAGGUAGGUAUGAUGUUGGAGUUGGAGCCAAAUCUCGCUUGAAAAGUAUGCCUAUCACCUCGGAUUUGCAUUGGGAUGUAUACAAGGAAAAAGUUUCCCAAUCGGAAGACAAGUCACUUGAAUUGUUUGCCACCAAGGUUGAAUCUCCUCGGUUUACACUUGAUUUGAACCGGUAUGUCUCUUCCCCAAUGGAUGACGUGAGCGUUGACUUGUAUGCCCCCAAUGCUUCUAGCCAACCACCAACUAGCCAAGCAAAUGAAGUUGAGGUGAUUGCUAGUGACGAAGUAAUUCAAGAGGAUGAAGAUGCUUAUGAUGACGACGAAGAGCAAGAGGAAGGGUUUCAUGGUAAUGAUGUUGGUGACUUGGAUGCGUACAUAGCGCAAAAGGACAUGGAUCGUGAGUUGCCUUUUAGGCGUCAAUAUGCGUAUGACUCGGAUGACGAGGGUCCAGUUGAACAGUUGGACGGUGGAAUGAGAAUGACGGCGUCAAGAUGGAUUCACAAAGGAGGAAAACCAAAUCCACUUUGA
rnacentral:rRNA from 1 species